rnacentral:misc_RNA from 1 species
CACAUUUCAGAACAACAUCCGUUUCUUGUGCGUAUCGAUAGCACGUCACACAGCUGUCUUGUUCACACUCGCCAGGACGUUUCCCCAGUUCAAGAUGGAGAAACUUGUCCGUGCCAGUAUGAACUACACCAUCUUUGGCUUGGCCUCUGGUGUUUACUGGCGCGAGCUCACAAAGCAUCUCAAGUACGUGAGCAACGGUACCUCGCAGCUGCGCGUCAUGCACACCCAUUGCUUCGCCCUCGGCAGCUUCUUUUUCUUGUUUGUCCUCCUGCUGGAGAAGUGCUUUGCCCUCACCAAGCAGAAGAACUACAAGAAGUUCUACAUCACGUACAAUAUCGGUCUCGGCAUUACGCUCAUGAUUAUGAUGAUCCACGGCACCCUGACCGUCAUGGGAAAUGAUCAGAACAGCCGUCUCAUCUCGUGGACCGCCGGUCUGGGCCACAUCUUCUUGAGCGUCGGCUUCGGCUACUUCUAUAACGUUCUGCUGAGUGCUGUGCGUGCGUCAGGUGACAAGGCGGGCAAGAAGACGGUCACGGCAAGCCCGUGAGUAUUCGGAAGUAGGGGAACCAGCGUGGGAAAGCCCCAUCUUUUUUGCCUGCGUUUGCUUUGGCUUUGUGGGUCUUCUAGCGCGCCUCGCCCUCCUGCACACACGAAUACACCAAACCGCUCGAACCUUACGCUUUUAUUUCUCUUACGGUUUUCUUUUUCAUAUCUUCUCACAGGCCACCGCCUUGCGUGCCUGUCUCCCACCUAUCCUCCCCCCUCCCUCCCUUCCGCUGUGGCGCGCGGGCCGGCGCCACGGGGGAACAAAU